rnacentral:rRNA from 1 species
UACAGAGGUCUCAAGCGUUGUUCGGAUUCAUUGGGCGUAAAGGGUGCGUAGGUGGCGGGGUAAGUCAGGUGUGAAAUCUCGGGCUCAACCCCGAAACUGCACUUGAUACUGCCUUGCUCGAGUACUGGAGAAGGAGAUUGGAAUUUACGGUGUAGCAGUGAAAUGCGUAGAUAUCGUGAAGGAAGACCAGUGGCGAAGGCGAAUCUCUGGACAGUUACUGACACUGAGGCAGCGAAG